rnacentral:lncRNA from 1 species
GCGAAUGAUCCGCCAGCCUCGGCUUCCCGAGGUGCCGGGAUUGCGGACGGAGUCUCGUUCACUCAGUGCUCAAUGGUGCCCAGGCUGGAGUGCAGUAGCGUGAUCUCGGCCCGCUACAACCUCCACCUCCCAGCCGCCUGCCUUGGCCUCCCAAAGUGCCGAGAUUGCAGCCUCUGCCCGGCCGCCACCCCGUCUGGGAUGUGAGGAGCAUCUCUGCCUGGCCGCCCAUCAUCUGGGAUGUGAGGAGCCCCUCUGCCUGGCUGCCCAGUCUGGAAAGUGAGGAACGUCUCUGCCCGGCCGCCAUCCCAUCUAGGAAGUGAGGAGCGUCUCUGCCCGGCCACCCAUUGUCUGAGAUGUGGGGGCGCCUCUGCCCCGCCACCCCGUCUGGGAUGUGAGGAGCGUCUCCGCCCGGCAGCCACCCCAUCCGGGAGGUGAGGGGCGCCUCUGCCUGGCCGCCCCUACUGGGAAGUGAGGAGCCCCUCUGCCCGGCCAGCCGCCCCAUCCGGGAGGGAGGUGGGGGGUCAGCCCCCCCGCCCGGCCAGCCCCGCCUCAGCCUCCCAAGUAGCUGGGAUUACAGGCGUGAGCCACCAUGCUUGGCUGAUUUUUGUAUUUUAGGCGUGAGCCACCGCGCCCGGCCAAUGGGAACAGAGUUUUUAAGGAUAACUUGGUGGGUGGGGGAAGCCAGUGAGCCAGGAGUGCUGAUUGGUCAGAGGUGAAAUCACAGGGCGUCAAAGCUGUCUUCUUGAGCUCAAUCGUUCCUGGGUGGGGUCCGCAAGAUCAGAUGAGCCAGUUUAUUGAUGUGGGUGGUGUCAGCUGACUCAUGAAGUGCAGGGUUUCCAAAAUAUCUCAAGCGCUGAUCUUAGGAGCAGUUUAAGGAGGGUCAGAAUCUUCUGGCCUCCAGCUGCAUGACUCCUAAACCAUAAUUUCUAAUCUUGGGGCUAA